AGAGUUUGAUCCUGGCUCAGGAUGAACGCUGGCGGCGUGCUUAACACAUGCAAGUCGAGCGAAGCACCUUGACGGAUUUCUUCGGAUUGAAGCCUUGGUGACUGAGCGGCGGACGGGUGAGUAACGCGUGGGUAACCUGCCUCAUACAGGGGGAUAACAGUUGGAAACGGCUGCUAAUACCGCAUAAGCGCACAGUACCGCAUGGUACGGUGUGAAAAACUCCGGUGGUAUGAGAUGGACCCGCGUCUGAUUAGGUAGUUGGUGGGGUAACGGCCUACCAAGCCGACGAUCAGUAGCCGACCUGAGAGGGUGACCGGCCACAUUGGGACUGAGACACGGCCCAAACUCCUACGGGAGGCAGCAGUGGGGAAUAUUGCACAAUGGGGGAAACCCUGAUGCAGCGACGCCGCGUGAGCGAUGAAGUAUUUCGGUAUGUAAAGCUCUAUCAGCAGGGAAGAAAAUGACGGUACCUGACUAAGAAGCCCCGGCUAACUACGUGCCAGCAGCCGCGGUAAUACGUAGGGGGCAAGCGUUAUCCGGAUUUACUGGGUGUAAAGGGAGCGUAGACGGCAUGGCAAGCCAGAUGUGAAAGCCCGGGGCUCAACCCCGGGACUGCAUUUGGAACUGUCAGGCUAGAGUGUCGGAGAGGAAAGCGGAAUUCCUAGUGUAGCGGUGAAAUGCGUAGAUAUUAGGAGGAACACCAGUGGCGAAGGCGGCUUUCUGGACGAUGACUGACGUUGAGGCUCGAAAGCGUGGGGAGCAAACAGGAUUAGAUACCCUGGUAGUCCACGCCGUAAACG
rnacentral:rRNA from 1 species